UUGGCAUGCGAAUUAGAGAGCUAAUGUCAUUAAGCGGCAUUGAGCUUAGGUUGUGGUGUACCUAACGGAUAGGGCCAUUGAGAGAAUUGGAACAUGCUUGAACAUCGAAAUGUCUAAGUGUCAUAAAAGGGCACUAGACUUAGUGAAUGUUGGGACUUCACAUUGUGACCUAGAGCUAGAUCAUUGAGAUGCUAGUGACUAUUACCAUGUUAGAAACAUGAGGAUUGGG
rnacentral:lncRNA from 1 species